rnacentral:lncRNA from 1 species
GGAGGCAUCAUCGGCAGGCGCCGCCACGGUGCACGCCUUCAUCUCGAAGCAGUAGGACUAGGUAUCAUUGACCUCGGCGGCGAGGUGGGAGGAGUUGCUAAAGCCCUUGGCUGCUUGGGCGGGGGGCGUGGGGCGAGGAGGUGGUCGAGGGUGGCGCGGAGGCUAGCUGCGACGUCAAGCUCGACCUCCUUCUCCCGCAGUUGUCGCGCUGCUGAAGCCACACGCACCAGCGCCUGGCACUCCACCACAACCAAUUGCAUCAUCCCCGGGAUCGGCAGCAGCGCCGCGGACACCACUAACCCCACUGCUGUUGUUGCAUGA